AGUGUAUAAAGUUAUUAAAUUAAUUAAUUUUAGUUUUAUUUAUUAAAAUAUUUUUAAUUUAGUAUUAUUUAGAAAAAUUUAAUUUAAUUAUAGUUUAUUAGUAUUGAGAAAGAAUUUUUAUUUAUUUAUUAAAGAAAUAUUAAAUUUUUGUACCUUGUGUAUCAGGGUUAAUUAAAAAUUUUUAUAUAUUUAGGUUUCUCGAUUUUAAAAGUGCUAUUUAGUAAUAUAUUUUAAUGUAGAAUAAUUAAUUGUAAUUAUUAAAUAGAAAUGAAAUGUUAUUCGUUUUUAAAUAUAUUUAGUUUUUAAAUAAAUAAAUUUAAUUUAAUUAUUAAUAAUAAAUUUAUUAAAUUUUUAAUAUUUUUAUUUUAAUAUUUUAUAUUUUAAGGGAUAAGCUUUAAAAUAAAAUUUUAUAAGUUUAUAUAUUUAAAUUAUUUGUAGGAUUAAAAAUUUUUAUCAUUAAAAUUAUGUUAUAAUAAAUAAUUUUGUUUAUUAUAUUUAUAUAAAUUUUAAUUAUUUAUUUAGAUGUUUAUUUUAAUUUUUAAAAUAAAGUAAUAAUGAUUAAAUUAGUAUAUGAAUUUUUAUUUUAUAUUUUAAUUUUUAGAUUAAAUUAAGGAAUUUGGCAAAUUAAUUUUCACCUGUUUAUUAAAAACAUGUCUUAUUGUUAAUAAUUUUAAGUCUAACCUGCCCAUUGAGGAGUUAAAAGGCCGCGGUAAUUUGACCGUGCUAAGGUAGCAUAAUCAUUAGUUUUUUAAUUGAAAGCUGGAAUGAAGGGUUGAAUGGAAAAUUAACUGUCUCAGUUUAAUUACAGUAAAAUUUUAAUUUUAAGUUAAAAAGCUUAAAUUUUUUUAAAAGACGAGAAGACCCUAUAGAGUUUAAUAUAUUAAGUGAAUUGGUUAGUUUAGUAUUAAUAUUUUAAUUUAUUUAUUUUAUUUAAUUGGGGUGAUUUAAAAAUUUAUAUAACUUUUUUUUAUUUGAAUUAUAAAUAAAUAGAUUUUUGAUCCAGUCGUAUUGAUUAAAAGAUUAAAUUACCUUAGGGAUAACAGCGUUAUUUUUUUUUAGAGUUCUUAUUGAAUAAAAAGAUUGCGACCUCGAUGUUGGAUUAAAAUUAAUUUAUGGUGCAGAAGCUAUACUAUUAAGUCUGUUCGACUUUUAAAAUUUUACAUGAUCUGAGUUUAAACCGGUGUGAGCCAGGUUGGUUUCUAUCUUUAAUAUUUUUUUUAUAUUUUAGUACGAAAGGAUUAAAUAUAUAAAAUAGUUUUUAUUUUAAUGAAUUUUACUA
rnacentral:rRNA from 1 species